rnacentral:tRNA from 1 species
GCCGUGAUAGAUCAGUUGGUUAGAUCGCCAGUUUGUGGCACUGGAGGCCGGUGGUUCGAACCCACCUCACGGUACCA